rnacentral:rRNA from 1 species
CAUGCCGUAAACGAUGAGUGCUAAGUGUUAGGGGGUUUCCGCCCCUUAGUGCUGCAGCUAACGCAUUAAGCACUCCGCCUGGGGAGUACGACCGCAAGGUUGAAACUCAAAGGAAUUGACGGGGGCCCGCACAAGCGGAGGAACAUGUGGUUUAAUUCGAUGAUACGCGAGGAACCUUACCCGGGCUUGAAUUGCAACCGAAUAAUCGAGAGAUCGAUUAGCCGCAAGGCGGUUGUGAAGGUGC